UGGGUGGUAGGGGAGCGUCCUGCACCGGGGGAAGCCUGUGGGUGACUGCUGGUGGACGGUGCGGGAGUGAGAAUGCAGGCAUGAGUAGCGAUACUAGGGUGAGAAGCCCUAGCGCCGAAUGACCAAGGGUUCCAGGGCCAGGCUAGUCCGCCCUGGGUGAGUCGGGGCCUAAGGCGAGGCCGACAGGCGUAGUCGAUGGACGACCAGUUGAUAUUCUGGUACCGGUGUAGCACCGUCCGUGUCGAGGUGUGUGAUGCUAAGCGUGCGAGUGUCCUGGUGAUCCCUUCGGGGUGAUCUUGUGGCGUGAGUGUGUGAACCGAUCAUGUAGUAGACAAGCUGCGGAGGGACACAGUGAGGUAGCUCGUCCCCGGCGAUGGUUGUCCGGGGCUAAAUGUGUGGACUGUCUGGUAGGUAAAUCCGUCAGACGUUGAGUUGAGGCAUGAUGGCGAGCCAUGUUUGUGUGGUGAGCGAGUGAUCCUGUGCUGUCGAGAAAAGCUUCGUGAGCGAGGUGUGAGCCGCCCGUACCCUAAACCGACACUGGUGGAUAGGUAGAGUAUACCGAGGCGAUCGAGAGAAUCAUGGUGAAGGAACUCGGCAAAAUGCCCCCGUAACUUUGGAAGAAGGGGGACCUGAGCUGUUGCCGCCACGUGCUGGUGGUUGCGGUGAGGGGCGCAGAGAAUUGGGGGAAGCGACUGUUUACCAAAAACACAGGUCCGUGCGAAGUCGUAAGACGAUGUAUACGGACUGACUCCUGCCCGGUGCUGGAAGGUUAAGGGGAACUGUGA
rnacentral:rRNA from 1 species